AGGAGAUUAGCAUUCUCUAUGUUAUCGAUAGCUAGGUCUUUAUCUUACAAAAAAAAUUCAAGCUAAAUGUCAACAUAAUAUCUCCAUAAAUAAAUUUACAUACAUGUAUGACCCAUUAAUUUUUCUACAGUAAAUCAAUCUACUUUUAUGAUCAUAUUUUGAGCUGACAACUUUAGUACAUUAAGAUGAAUACUCCUUGGUUUUCUUAUUCAAUUUAGCCUUCUAAGAAACACAUCUUUAUUUCCUUACAGCUCUAUCUUUCCUACAGAGACGAAAAAAAAAAAAAAAAAAAAAAAAAGGAUGUGUGAUUUAAGUACGAUUCUAAAAUACAGACAUAAAAUAGGUCCUUAGAAAUAUAGAAUUUCAGGGCUAGAAUGGAUACUAGUUUUCCAAAUAAGAAAACUAAAGUCAGAAAACCUAAGAGUAGAAGAGUCAAAAUUAGAUGUCAAGGGUCCUGAUUCUUAAUGUUGGCUUCAUUUUUUCCCUUCUCCUUAAGUUACAGCCUCUAGUUUGAGACUAAGAUCCUUGCUUGCUCAGAAUAUAUUCUGUCAAAAAAUGACAGAAAUCCUAUCACACUAGUUUAAAAUACAAAAAGUAAAUUUAUCACAUCGCAUCACUGGAAAGUUGAAGAGCUCAUGGAACUGUGUCCAGGGCUUCAAAAAUGUCAUGAAGAACUGUCUGUCUGUCUUUCCCCAGGUAGUGACAAAGGGAGCAGCAGCAGCUCAGGCUCCCAUCUCACCAACUACCCAGCCCAGCAGAAAGAGUCCCUCCUGUACAACAGCAACAAAAAUGUUCUGGGUUUGCCAGUGACUGGUCUGCCAAGGCACUUCAGUGUUGAAGGCAAGAAAAAAGCAGAAGCAUAGAAUAUUCCAUCUCAGCGAUAAAAAUUAAUGGACGUAUUAAGGAAAAAAAGACACAUAAAAUAAGAAAAAGGAGAAGAAUAGAAAUGAUUUCAAACAACUGCAAAUGGCAUUUAAGGUAAUUCCAAAGUCCCCGACAUUUUACUGAACCUAGUGUCUGUACACCAGGCACCAUGCCACAAAUCAUUCAUCCUAUUAAGAACAGAAAGGUUCUCAGAUGGGAUACUAUUCAGCUAGAACAAUAAGAUCGUCUGAAAAAAAUUGUUUUAGGAAUUUCAUAUUUAUAACAUAAGCAUAAUAGCUUUUCUGAUUAUUAGGUAGCAUUUAGGCAUCUGUUCAAACAAUUUCCAAUGUCUGUUC
rnacentral:lncRNA from 1 species